UUAAGUAGAUCAGGGCAGUGAUUGGAACACAGCUUUAGUCGCUGCUUGUGAGAACGAAGAUUUAAUAGCUAACCAUGGUUCCACCGGUGCAGGUCUCACCACUUAUCAAGGCUGCGAGAUGGUCUUUACUGCUGGUUGGAAUCGUCUAUGGAAAGCAGCGAUAUGAUCACCUGAAGCCGAUCGCUGCAGAGGAGAGACGAGUGGAGGAGGAGGAAAGAAAACAGACGGAGGAGCGAGAGAGGAUUUACAAACAGCUGGCUGAAGCUGAUUCGGACACCAUUCUGAAGUGAAACCUCGCAGCGAUCUCUUCAUUCACCUUCAACACAACGAUUACAUUAAUUGAAGAAAAUGAGAUCUCUAUAUUUUGUAAUAAAAUGUGUAAAAUGUA